rnacentral:rRNA from 1 species
GGUGCAGCAGUCGCGAAAACUCCGCAAUACGCGAAAGUGUGACGGGGCUACCCCGAGUGUCGUCCGCUGAGGACGACUUUUCCACGCUGUAAGGAGGCGUGGGAAUAAGGAGAGGGCAAGUCUGGUGUCAGCCGCCGCGGUAAUACCAGCUCUCCGAGUGGUAGGGACGAUUAUUGGGCUUAAAGCGUCCGUAGCCGGCUCAGCAAGUCUCCCGUUAAAUCCAACGAUUCAAUCGUUGGACUGCGGGAGAUACUGUUGAGCUAGGAGGCGGGAGAGGCCGACGGUAUUCCCGGAGUAGGGGUGAAAUCUUAUAAUUCCGGGAGGACCACCUGUGGCGAAGGCGUCUAACCAGAACGGCUUCGACGGUGAGGGACGAAAGCUGGGGGAGCGAUCCGGAUUAGAUACCCGCGUAGUCC